GAGUAACACGUAUGGAACCUGCCCGCCACAGGGGGAUAACCCGGGGAAACCCGGCCUAAUACCCCAUGCCGUCCGGACCGGGCAUCCGGUCCGGGCGAAAGGAGGAAUCCGGUGGCGGCUGGGCAUGCGGCGCAUUAGCUUGACGGCGGGGUAACGGCCCACCGUGGCGACGAUGCGUAUGGGUUCUGAGAGGAAGGCCCCCCACACUGGAACUGAGACACGGUCCAGACUCCUACGGGAGGCAGCAGUGAGGAAUAUUGGUCAAUGGGCGGAAGCCUGAACCAGCCAAGUCGCGUGAGGGAAUAAGGCCCUACGGGUCGUAAACCUCUUUUGCCGGGGAGCAAGGGCCGGGACGCGUCCCGGCCCGGAGAGUACCCGGAGAAAAAGCAUCGGCUAACUCCGUGCCAGCAGCCGCGGUAAUACGGAGGAUGCGAGCGUUAUCCGGAUUUAUUGGGUUUAAAGGGUGCGUAGGCGGGCUUUUAAGUCAGCGGUAAAAAUUCGGGGCUCAACCCCGUCCGGCCGUUGAAACUGGGGGCCUUGAGUGGGCGAGAAGAAGGCGGAAUGCGUGGUGU
rnacentral:rRNA from 1 species